rnacentral:misc_RNA from 1 species
UCCGAUUUGUCACCGGCAGUCUCCCAUGAGUCCCCGUCUUUCACGCUGGCAACAUGGGACAGGGGUUGCGCUCGUUGCGGGACUUAACCCAGCAUCUCACGGCACGAGCUGACGACAGCCGUGCAGCACCUGUGCUCGCUCCCUCGCGGGUCAGCCGACUUUCGCCGACUUACCACGAGCAUGUCAAGCCCGGGUAAGGUUCUGCGCGUUGCAUCGAAUUAAACCACACGCUCCGCUGCUUGUGCGGGCCCCCGUCAAUUCUUUUGAGUUUUAGCCUUGCGGCCGUACUCCCCAGGCGGGACACUUAACACGUUAACUGCGGCACAGAGGGAUUCGACUCCCCCCACACCUAGUGUCCAUCGUUUACGGCUAGGACUAC